ensembl:lncRNA
ACCUAAAACAUGCUGAAAGUAUCUUUUGAUCACUUGAUUUCUGUUUGAUUUUUUCCUUUUUGUAUUCUAGACAUCUGAUAUGACACUUCAUCAAAGACAAGCGGCUCUGGAAGGUCUUCCAAUAUUUCUUCGUGAAAAUUCAAAGGAGCUUUUCCAGACAUGCAAGGAAACCAAUUCAGAAGACAAGCAGACCAAAGGAAUCCAGAUGGGUGUCCUUGCUGUGCUUGAGGAUGAUGACGCGCCUAACGCACACACAGCAAAUGCCAAAGUGUUAAAAUCCCAGAGUAUUCAUGACCAGAGUAGAUUUUAUACACUUUGGUGUUGAAUAGGCACCAAGUACAUUUUUUGGGGUGUACCAGAAACACUCUUGGGUGUUGUCUCUAAGUAUAAUGCUGGUGUAGAGUAAUUUAAGUGUUUAUUUUAGAAUGAUGGACUCCCUGAGUGUCCAACGGUUGAUUGAAACUUUCCCGGCCGCACAUCGGUUUAGGUUUCGAUUCGUCGUUGGGUCGCUGCGCCUUCUCAUUGGUUGAAUCUAGAGACAUGUGACCGUCUGUCCUCUUCCACACUACGCGGCAAACUGUUUCGGCAGAGACGGUUGACUAGAGAGGAUCGAAUCAAUAUCGCCAAGGAAUUGCUCCGAGUGAGCAAAGACAUUUUUGAACUUCACGGGAAUGUAAACAGGUAAGAAAAGUACCAAGUGAAUAAUGCACAGGGUUUCUAUGUUUCAUAGUUAGUUGUGCGUGUGUACUUCAUAUAGGUCAGAAAUUGUAUUCAUAAUGGGUCUUAAGAAGGUAUUAAAGUCUUAAAUUUAACUUGUUCAAACCUGCAUAAACCCUGAAUGCAGAAUAUUCCGCAUUUCUUCGUCUUUUAGAUCUGAUAACCAACUUAUAAAUGCUAACGAUUUUAGCUAACGCCAAACUUAAUGGCCAAUGCUAAUGAGGCACAUGUCUUCAAUUUAGCUAACGCCUCGUUACCAUUUUUAGCUAAUGCUAACGAGGCACAUGGCUUCAAUUUAGUGGGAGCGUGUCUAUGUUCCCCGGGUCCUAUGUUCCCCUCUUUGUAUGAGACUGGGGAACAUAGGACCCUUUUUUUUUUUUAAAAAGCGUCCUAUGAUAAUAACCUGUUUGUAUUUGGCCACCUUUUUAGAUGCUGACUAUUUAUUGAAAAGAACUUUUUGAACCUUUUAUGUUGUGUCAUGUGCUUUCAUCAGGUGUAUUUCAUGCUCAAAGUAUGUGCUCCCCUUUUCAGGUUGGGAUAGUGACAUGGCCUCACUUCCCCUGCUGGUCUACCUCCUGCCACCACCUCCAAGUGGAAAGAAGGGAGUUGUCAAAAUCAGUAUCCGGGAAGCUGUGGAUCGUGUAGUGAAGUUUCACAAGGUAAUUGUACCCUGAUCAUUUUUUUAAUUUUUUUUAAAGGUCCCAUGGCAUGCCGCCAGAGCUUGUGUGUUGCUGAUGGAUGUCACAAUCUCUGUGUUUGUCAAUCUACUCAUCGAGUCUUAAACAAAAUGGCGUUGACGGGUGAUCUACUGAUGGUAUUGUGUGUAUAAAAUGUACUUUUUAAUAAACAAUCUGUACACUUACAAAGUUCUCAAUGCCUCGUUUUAUAUGUUAAUACCCUUAUGUACUACCAAAGAAGUGUCGGGCUACUUCUAGCCUUUUAAAUGGUUUAAAAUAGCGAUUUAGUUUUUACCAUAACCACUGCCCCCAUUGUUCCAAGUUUAUAGCGUUUUGAUAGAAUCGGCUAAAAACAGCCAACUGAAGAAAGCGUCUAUAUGCGUUUUUUGUGCUCCAAAACGAACGUUUCAACUCGUUAUCAUACAAAACAUAUCCCAAAUCCAUUUUACACCGGAAUUCCCCUUUAAUUGGUUGACAGGGACACAUUUAUUUAUUUAUUUUCAAGUUGUUGGUUACAUCAUAUAAAUGUAAAACUAAAUAUGGUUCUUGAUGUAAAAUAAUUCAAGUUCAACUAUAAUGUUAACUAUAUUAUAUAUGUAUGCACUGUAACA